GAUGAACGCUGGCGGCAUGCCUAACACAUGCAAGUCGAACGGGAAGUGGUGUUUCCCGUGGCGAUCGGGUGAGUAACGCGUAAGAAACUGCCCUUGGGAUGGGAACAACAACUGGAAACGGUUGCUAAUACCCCGCAGGCAGCGGAGCAAACGGAGAAAUCCGCCAAAGGAGGGGCGCGCGUAUGCUUUGCUAGUUGGUGCGGGAAUAGCUUACCAAGGCGAUGAUCAGUAGCUGGUCCGAGAGGAAGAUCAGCCACACUGCGACUGGGACACGGAGCAGGGUACUACGGGAGGUAGGAGAGGGGAAGAUUCCGCAAUGCGGCAAGGCCUGAGAAGGCAAUGGGGUUGGGAGGUGGAAUGCGUAGGGAGCGUCAACAGCUUUUCUCGGAGAAGAAGCAAUGACGGUAUCUGAGGAAUAAGCAUCGGCUAACUCCGUG
rnacentral:rRNA from 1 species